UUUCCCUCAGGAUAGCUGGCACUCGCUUGAGCGAGUCUCAUCUGGUAAAGCGAAUGAUUAGAGGCCUUGGGGCCGAAACGACCUCAACCUAUUCUCAAACUUUAAAUGGGUGAGAUCUCUGGCUUGCUUGAAAUUUGAAGCCACGAGAUUCAUUUUUUUGAAACGGAUCAGAGUGCCAAGUGGGCCAAUUUUGGUAAGCAGAACUGGCGCUGUGGGA
rnacentral:rRNA from 1 species